rnacentral:rRNA from 1 species
GCUCCCACGUCCAAGGAUGGCAGCAGGCGCGAAAAUUGUCCACUCUUUUGAGAGGAGACAGUUAUGAAACGUGAGUAGAAGGGUCGAGUGUAAAAACCUUGACGUGAAGCAAUUGGAGGGCAAGUUUUGGUGCCAGCAGCCGCGGUAAUUCCAACUCCAAGAGUGUCUAUGGUGGAUGCUGCAGUUAAAGGGUCCGUAGUCGUAGAUGCAAUUAAAAGGUGGUGUUAAAAGCCAUUGAGUUUGUUGAGAGUAGCGGAACGGAUAGGGAGCAUGGUAUAGGUGGGCAAAGAAUGAAAUCUCAAGACCCCACCUGGACCAACGGAGGCGAAAGCGAUGCUCUUAGACGUAUCUGGGGAUCAAGGACGAAGGCUAGAGUAUCGAAAGUGAUUAGACACCGCUGUAGUUCUAGCAGUAAACUAUGCCGACAAUGCUGGGUGUUGCGAGAGCGAUGCUUGGUGUG